UACGAAGGACCCGAGCGUUAUCCGGAUUUAUUGGGUUUAAAGGGUGCGUAGGCGGAUUAUUAAGUCAGUGGUGAAAGCCUACAGCUUAACUGUAGAAUUGCCAUUGAUACUGAUGAUCUUGAGUAUGAUUGAGGUGGGCGGAAUGUGUCAUGUAGCGGUGAAAUGCUUAGAUAUGACACAGAACACCGAUUGCGAAGGCAGCUCACUAAGUCAUAACUGACGCUGAUGCACGAAAGCGUGGGGAGCAAACAGG
rnacentral:rRNA from 1 species